AUUCUUGUAUAGUUUGUAAGUGUGAUGAUUGACUUUUCAUGCUCAGGCAUGAGAUGUGUCACCCUCAAACCUUGCUAAAACAUCAGCGCAAGACCAGGCACAGU
ensembl:snoRNA